UUGAUCUUUAGAACCUGAGGACCCUUCUAAGAUGAAUUUCUUCUUCUUCGUUCUCAUUGUUAUGUUGGAGUGUUCAGAUGACUAGACCAAUAUAUGAGAUGAACUGCGUAGUGGUUUCCGAAUCAGGGAGCUCUCUGUCAGGGAGAGGUAUGGCGAGAAUGAAUGUUAGUUAGAUAUGAUUGUUAUAUCCCCUUGUUAUGAAUGCGAAGUGUUGCACGUGUUGUGAACUGAGUGAUUAAGUCUUCGUUGAAUGUGCGAGAGAAUGUGUUAGUCAGUAAGGUCUUGCUCCCGGUCCAGGAAGGUUGGACGUUUACUUCCUGGACUGGUAUUUAUGUAUUUAUAAGUUGAUGGACUGGUGUUUUGUUUAUUAAUAUUUACUUGAGCAAUAUUGGAUAUUAAAAUAUUGAUAUAUUCUUGGAGAUUUGGAGUUGGAGUUGAUGUGUAGGCUAUCUAGUGGUAACUGUUCGUAUGUGAGUAAAUAAACAAGUAUUGUUAAGUGUUAUUGAGGAUUCAUACCCCCCAACGAGCCAAGUCAAGAAACACACCAACCAAGAGAGACAAGCAGCAAGCAGCAGUAAUAUAUAUAUAAUUAAGACCCUGACAUCUGGAGGCUUCGUCCGGGCAGGUAUCGUUGUACCUGUUACCUGUAUUAUUAAACACCAGUGUAUUAACCGGUGUACUAAUACAGUAUUAGUCCGGGCAGGUCAGUUAUACCUGUUAUGUCAUUCGUCACGUUGAAGAAGUCGAUAAGAAAAAAAAAGAAUAAGCAACACAAGCAAAGAAAAGGAUACCGAAUUUUUUGAUCUUCGUCCGGUCUGGGACAGUAACUAUUGUACAUGACAUUGUCUACUAAAGUUGGAUUCAAGGCAAUCUGUAUUAUUUGUAACCUACUACUCGUUGACAUUUUUGGGCCUCGUUCGGCCAGUAUUUGAGAGUCUUUUGACACACACUGAAGAACUUGACAUUGUUUACAUUUUUGAGAACACGGAGGAACUUUUUGUUUUCGCCAUCAACACGUUAUUGUUGAAGUCAAGCAGUCUACAAGAACUCUACGAAAGGUCAUUGACUAAUGUGGACUUGCAGCUACUUCUUGUAUACCGAGGUCAUUGCGUCACCCACCAUUUAAAGAGACAUCACCAUUUAAAGGGACAUCACCAUUUAAAGGGACAUCACCAUUUAAAGAGACACUACUACUACUAGUUUUCAUUUACUAUUGAAUUAUUCUACAUGAAUGCAAUUACUAAAGUAAUCGUGAUUUAUCUACCUUUGCUACAUUGAUGUUGGAUUAUUAUUGUACUACCUGACUAGAUAAUCUUUUUUUAUGCACCCAUAUUAUUACUAUUAGUAUCAUAUCAAUGUUUGAAUAAUUUUGUUUUGUAUUUGUUUCAUUCUCUAAAUCUGCUGUGAGUCAUAAAGCGUUUACAAGGAGGCCGAACAGCGACCUGACACUCCAGAAGUUCUACAUUCUUAAAGCAACACUGUCGUGUGGGAAGAGUCGUCAUUUAUUUCCUGGCAUCAGACACAGAUAAGUUGAGUUUUCUUUUGUCUGUUGUAUCGAGCAUUCAGGGUCGAGUGUACAUUGCCUUUUCAGUAGGGGAGAUAAAGGUACAUCCGAAAUAGCUUGCUGUGUGUUGCACCAAGUAGAUGGCUUCCUUCCGGUAAAGUGCAGAGAGCUGAUACAUAGAGAGUGGCAUUACGUCAUCAGUAGCGUGAGUGUCCAACGCCUAGACAGAUACCUCUGAUACCCAGGAGGUUGCAAAAUCCAGUUUGACCACAGACCAUUGUCUACUAGCAGAUAAACUGUCAAGACUUAGCAUAGUUGUAUUAGUUAUAAUUGUUAGAAUUCAUCUUUUUUUUCCCAAUACAAUAUGAAACGCUGUUAUAACUAUUAGAGAUUGUAUCUUGUCAAAUAUUAUUGCUAUACAUAGGAGUUGAUCUUUUCUUAUAUUUUUGCUGUUUUACGUACCUUCCAAUAGUAAUUUAACUUUCCGUGCUACUAUUUGUUUUUGUUCUCAUUUAUUCUUUUCUCUCUUUCCCUUUGUUGUAAAUAGUGUCAUAUAAGUGAUAGCCUUAGCUGGAUAUAUUUUUUUUGUUAGGUUAAUAGGGGCUAUUUCACUUUAAUGUACAUUAUAUACAUUUGUUUGUAGAUAUAUGUUUAUAUAUAUGUAUAUAAGUAUGUGUAUGACACAGUGUGUAUGUAUGUAUAUUUAUGUAUAUAUUUGAAUGACUGUUAUCUAAUAACAGUCAUAUCGUGAGAGGGGGGAUGUCAGGGAGAGGUAUGGCGAGAAUGAAUGUUAGUUAGAUAUGAUUGUUAUAUCCCCUUGUUAUGAAUGCGAAGUGUUGCACGUGUUGUGAACUGAGUGAUUAAGUCUUCGUUGAAUGUGCGAGAGAAUGUGUUAGUCAGUAAGGUCUUGCUCCCGGUCCAGGAAGGUUGGACGUUUACUUCCUGGACUGGUAUUUAUGUAUUUAUAAGUUGAUGGACUGGUGUUUUGUUUAUUAAUAUUUACUUGAGCAAUAUUGGAUAUUAAAAUAUUGAUAUAUUCUUGGAGA